rnacentral:tRNA from 1 species
GGAGGGAUGGCCGAGCGGUCUAAGGCGCCACGUUAAGGUCUUCAUAACCUUGAAACCCAUCUGGUCUACAGAUUAAUCCGUGGUCUCGUAAGAGGCGCGAGUUCGAAUCUCGCUUCCUUCA